rnacentral:sRNA from 1 species
UAUUUAAGGUAUACAGUUUGAUGGUUUGAUAUACACAUGCAUUGUGAAAUAAUCACAGUCUCUGAUUAAUUACUGAUGCCUCCCUUGGGAUGGGAAGAGAUAGCAAACUGUACCUCAUUUAUGGUGUUUGGUUGUGUUACUCUUGGGACCAUUACAUUACCAUUAUUAAGUGACAGUUAACUUUUUAAUGCAUUAUUUAAGACAAUUCUUUACAAGCAUAAUUCAUAUUAUCUGAUGGUAUUUCCACUCCAGUUAUUAACAUACCUGUCCCUUAUAUGCAUAAUCAGGAUCACAAUAUGAAUCUGAGUCACUUCCUGAUUUAAUUUAUGUCUUUGGUGCAUUUCAAAUUAGGAUUGUACUGCUUUUCACUCUAAAGACUAUAAAAUGAAGCGAUUUGGAAGAGAAGUAAAAUUUAAUGUUUAGUUUCACUGGAGUCUUAUUCAUAUAUGAAGUUUUGAAAAAAUGCAUAGGAAAAUUAAUAUCCUUAAGAGUUUGUUCCAUAGAGGGCUGUGUAUGUGUAUGUGUGUUUGUGCCUGGAGGGAAGGAGUUCCAUGAAAAAAACUAAAUAUUUUCCACCAGACUAACUUAAUUUGCCUUUUUUAAAAUUCUUCUAGAAACCUGUGGAUUUUUGUAUCUAAGUUUACUGAAUUUGAUGCAAGAAAAUUACAUAAAUUAUAUAAGCACGCUAUUAAAAAACGGCAGGAGUCUCAGCAAAACAAUGAUCAAAACAGCAACUUGAAUCCUCACGUGAUUAGAAAUCCAGAUGUGGAAAGAUUAAAAGAGAAUACAAAUCACGAUGAUAGCAGCAGGGACAGUUAUUCCUCUGAUAGACACUUAACUCAGUACCAUGAUCAUCAUAAAGACCGACAUCAGGGAGAUUCUUACAAAAAAAGUGAUUCCAGGAAAAGACCCUAUUCUUCUUUUAGUAAUGGUAAAGACCAUCGUGAUUGGGAUCACUACAAGCAAGACAGCAGAUAUUACAGUGACAGAGAGAAACACAGAAAACUGGAUGAUCACAGGAGUAGAGAUCACAGGUCAAAUUUGGAAGGAAGUUUAAAAGAUAGAUCUCAUUCUGAUCAUCGUUCUCACUCAGAUCAUCGGUUACAUUCAGACCACCGGUCAAGUUCUGAAUAUAUGCACCAUAAAUCUUCCAGGGAUUAUAGGUAUCACUCAGACUGGCAAAUGGACCACAGAGCUUCCAGCAGUGGCCCUAGGUCACCACUAGAUCAGAGAUCUCCUUAUGGCUCCAGAUCUCCAUUUGAACAUUCAGUUGAACACAAAAAUACACCGGAGCAUACCUGGAGUAGUCGGAAAACAUAACAAAAACUGAUACUUCGUCUUUCUGGACUUUUCUUUUAGCCAUAUAUCAUAAACCAACACAGUAAUUGCCUUACAUGACUUGAAAGAUAUAAACAGAUCUUCUAUCAGUAGCAGUAUUGUUACUUCUUUCCAGGAUGCAAGGUCUAUUAUCCCAACAGAAGAGAAAAUAUUUUUAUAUUUAAGGAUUAUGCUGCACUGUACUACAGAAUUGUAGUACGUUUUUUUGUUUUCUUUUUUAAAGAAAUGGAAAAUGUUUACUAUUACAGGGACCUCAACACUGCCCUCCCAUACAGGCUGGAUAAAACUGUUUUUAAGUCAGUGAUUUUAGACUGACCUCCAUUUAAAUUAUGUUUAUAUAUGAACUUUACUCUGACCUGUGAUCACGUUUCAGGAAGGAAUGAAAGAGAGUUCUUUCUUAAUAAAGAAAAACACUCAAGGACUUUGUUCAUUUCCAAAGCUACUUGUUUACAUUGUACACUGCGACCACCUUGCCGCUUUUCAUCACAAGCUUGAAUAUUUAAAUUCUGUACUUAUAUCUGUAAAAUAGCCAGGAAUUUCCUGUUUGUGAUCUAUUAUGCCUUUUUACAAAAAAAAAUGGCUGUAAAUUAUUGUAAAUAUUAAAGGAACUUUCCUUACUUCCUUCCCUUUC